rnacentral:lncRNA from 1 species
GCCAAGAGGAGUUAUGCAAGCCUUGCAGAAAGAGGAUUGUUAUGCCAAGGUCGUGGAGUCCCCAGAGACCACCAGAGACCACCAGAAGUCCAACUCAUAUGCAAAAGCAAAGAGUCUUUAUUCAAGCUCAUGCUCAGACCCUCUGGUCUCUCCAGUGGACUGAAAGGUCCUGAGCAGGUGUAGGACAAGAGGCUGCUUCACAGCAGGUGAUUAUGAUUUGCCUCGUGAUCCAGCAGAGGUGUGGUUUUGCCAGCUGCAGAUAGUUUCUGCAAGUGUGUGACUUUUGGAAUUCAGUGAAGUUUUGAGAAGUAUAAAUGUCUGAAUGCCAGAAGAGGGAACGGGCACAGAGGAUGCUGAUGCUGGUGCUGAUGCUGGUGGUUUCCAUGGCUGCAGUUUGUCAAGUGACUGUGAGCAAAGAGAGAAGAAGAAAUUGGAUAUCCUGACAUUGAAGAUUGGACUUGCCCUAAGGAACUUGAUGCCCCUAAGCAGCAGGAAGUAGUCUAAAGAGGUCUAUGCCCCUUUCCUCUCUAAUCUUCUUUCUCUCCUACCUAGUGUUGGGAGGCUGGAAGGGAUCAGGGUGAAAUCAGGGUUGGAAGGGAGGUAAUAAAGUAGCGCAGAAAAGUCCACUUCCACAAAGAACUGGGGAGAUCAAUCCAUCAGUAAAGUACAAGAGCCUUAGUUUGGAUCCUGCCUCCCACUUUUAGGAAGGUAGAGAGAGGUGGAUCCUGGGACUCACUGGCCAGUCCAGGCUGGGUGAGUUAGUAAGUUCCAGAGAAAAAGGUUUUGGAGAGUCCUGACCCAAGAACCAAACUCACUGUUGACUACAUGUGCCGCCGUGUGGACACACAUGCAUGUACACACACAGACACAGACAGACAGACACCCCAUAAAAUAUAUAAAUAGAAAUUAAAAGAGUAUUAUUGGCAUGUCUUACUGAAAAUAUCUCUUUGCAUUUGGAGACUGUCUUAGGGUCUUUCUGCUGUAAACGGACACCAUGACCAAGGCAACUUUUUUAAGGACAACAUUUAAUUGGGGCUGGUUUACAGGUUCAAACGUUCAGUCCAUUAUCAUCAAGAUGGGAACAUGGCAGCAUCCAGGCAGGCAUGGUGCAGGAGGAGCUGAGAGCUCUACAUCUUCAUCUGAAGGCUGCUAGCAGAAUACUGUCUUCCAGGCAGCUAGGACUAGGGUAUUAAAGCCCAUGCCCACAGUGACACACCUACUCCAACAAGGCUACAUCACCAAAUAGAGCCACUCCCUGGGCCAAGUAUAUACAAAUUAUCACAGAGACCAAAAGAGUCGUGACUCAUUUCUUCAUGUUUCCAAACCAGAGCAGCACCAGACACACCUACAACCUCGGCACACCUGGAGUCCCAGCACAUCUGGAGCUCUGGAAUACCUGGAGCACCAAGGCUUGUUGCUAACACAACCUGAAGCUUUUCUGUUCUUCUCAUUCCCUCCCACUUGCUGUAUUUUUUUUAAAAUAAAUUCUCUUCUCUCACAAUUUUACCUCCA